rnacentral:rRNA from 1 species
GAUCAUUACCAAAUACUGCUUGCAUGGAUGGAGUCAUCUGUUCUGCAAACAAAACCCCCUCUGCGUACCUGUACCUGUUGCUUCCGUCAGCCAGCGGAUGCCCCUCGGGGCGUCCCCUCCGGUGCCUGAUCAGUUCAUGGUCGGCUGGGGAGUCGCUGGCGGUGAGCCCAUUAUCAAACUCGUGUCAUAUCUCUGCCUAGUCUGAGCUUUGAUGCUAAAAACAAAACAAGUUAAAACUUUCAACAACGGAUCUCUUGGUUCUCGCAUCGAUGAAGAACGCAGCGAAAUGCGAUAAGUAGUGUGAAUUGCAGAAUUCAGUGAAUCAUCGAAUCUUUGAACGCACAUUGCGCCUUCUGGUAUUCCGGGAGGCAUGCCUGUCCGAACGUCAUCAAGCCCCUCGCCUGCAUCUGUUGCUUGCAACAGAAGCCUUGGCGGCACAUGGCAGAUGGCCGCCUCCGUGCGGCCACUGCUGAAAUGCAUUGGCAGACCCUUCAUGGCUGUGAUUGUGAUAAGAUUUUACUUACAAUUGCUACACUGAUAGGCGUCCCGCUACAAGCUUCCGGCAGGUCCUCCACGGGACCUCCGGUCAAACCAAAUCUUUUGACUUCGGAUCAGGUAGGGAUACCCGCUGAACUUAAGCAUAUCAAUAAGCGGAGGAAAAGAAACCAACAGGGAUUGCCUUAGUAACUGCGAGUGAAGCGGCAAAAGCUCAAAUUUGAAAUCUGGCGUCUUUGGCGUCCGAGUUGUAAUUUGGAGAGAUGACUUCGGUGCUGCCGGCCGUCCCAAGUUCCUUGGAACAGGACGUCACAGAGGGUGAGAAUCCCGUGUCUGGUCGGCUGGCGUGUGCCAUGUGAAGUCUCUUCGACGAGUCGAGUUGUUUGGGAAUGCAGCUCAAAAUGGGUGGUAAAUUUCAUCUAAAGCUAAAUAUUGGCGAGAGACCGAUAGCGCACAAGUAGAGUGAUCGAAAGAUGAAAAGCACUUUGAAAAGAGAGUCAAAAAGUACGUGAAAUUGUUGAAAGGGAAGCGCUUGAGAUCAGACUCGACCGUUGGUGAUCAGCAGUCCUUCUGGGCUGUGCACUGGCCGACGGUCGGACCAGCAUCGGUUGCUGCGGCGGGAGAAAGGUUGGGAGAAUGUGGCCAACUUCGGUUGGUGUUAUAGCCCCCGGCGCAAUGCCGCCUGCAGCGACCGAGGUCCGCGCAUCUG